UACGUAGGGUGCGAGCGUUAAUCGGAAUUACUGGGCGGAAAGCGUGCGCAGGCGGUUUUGUAAGCCAGAUGUGAAAUCCCCGGGCUUAACCUGGGAAUGGCAUUUGGGACUGCAAGGCUGGAGUGUGGCAGAGGAGACUGGAAUUCCCGGUGUAGCAGUGAAAUGCGUAGAGAUGCGGAGGGACACCGAUGGCGAAGGCAGCCCCCUGGGCUAGCACUGACGCUCAGGCACGAAAGCGUGGGGAGCAAACAGG
rnacentral:rRNA from 1 species